rnacentral:lncRNA from 1 species
CUUUAGAAAUUGAAAGAGGAGGAGAGGAGGAGAGACCCACAGUUGAUCUCUGAGAAGUGAGUAGCUGGAGGCACCAGGAUACCAGCCAAGCCUAAAGGAUAAAGCAAAUCCCUGGACAUGGCUUUUGAUUCCAAGCUAAGAAGUGCAAGAAGCUCUUCCAAAUACAACUGCAACUGCCAAGAGAUUGAUGGACCAGAGAAUGGCCUCUUCAUUCCAGGCACUUCUAAAGUCCAAGUGGUCAAAUACCAGCCUCUUUUUACCAAUGUUCCCACCUGUUUCAUUCAGCCAAAUUUCAUUAGAUGAAGGUUUGAAUGGUGAAGAAAUGAUGGACGCUGUUUGUCUCAAACAAGGACUCUAAUGAUACAACAGAACAAGUCACAAGAAAGCUUGCCUGGAAAACCAUACACUGGCCUCUUCGUGGUGAAGUCCUUCACAAUCCUUACAAACAUAGAAAAUAUUCAGCAAUUCGUUUGUUUGUUUUCCAGUCCACUCUUACUUGAGAAAAAUGCAAAACAUCAAAGACACAGAAAAACCACCAGUCUAUACAGCUUGCCCAUACUAAAUUGUUAUUCAUUUC